rnacentral:rRNA from 1 species
AACGAUGUCGACUUGGAGGUUGUUCCCUUGAGGAGUGGCUUCCGGAGCUAACGCGUUAAGUCGACCGCCUGGGGAGUACGGCCGCAAGGUUAAAACUCAAAUGAAUUGACGGGGGCCCGCACAAGCGGUGGAGCAUGUGGUUUAAUUCGAUGCAACGCGAAGAACCUUACCUACUCUUGACAUCCANNGAACUUAGCAGAGAUGCUUUGGUGCCUUCGGGAACGCUGAGACAGGUGCUGCAUGGCUGUCGUCAGCUCGUGUUGUGAAAUGUUGGGUUAAGUCCCGCAACGAGCGCAACCCUUAUCCUUUGUUGCCAGCGAUUCGGUCGGGAACUCAAAGGAGACUGCCGGUGAUAAACCGGAGGAAGGUGGGGAUGACGUCAAGUCAUCAUGGCCCUUACGAGUAGGGCUACACACGUGCUACAAUGGCGCAUACAAAGAGAAGCGACCUCGCGAGAGCAAGCGGACCUCACAAAGUGCGUCGUAGUCCGGAUCGGAGUCUGCAACUCGACUCCGUGAAGUCGGAAUCGCUAGUAAUCGUGGAUCAGAAUGCCACGGUGAAUACGUUCCCGGGCCUUGUACACACCGCCCGUCACACCAUGGGAGUGGGUUGCAAAAGAAGU